GAUGAACGCUGGCGGCGUGCCUAAUACAUGCAAGUCGAGCGAACGGACGAGAAGCUUGCUUCUCUGAUGUUAGCGGCGGACGGGUGAGUAACACGUGGAUAACCUACCUAUAAGACUGGGAUAACUUCGGGAAACCUUAGCUAAUACCGGAUAAUAUUUUGAACCGCAUGGUUCAAAAGUGAAAGACGGUCUUGCUGUCACUUAUAGAUGGAUCCGCGCUGCAUUAGCUAGUUGGUAAGGUAACGGCUUACCAAGGCAACGAUGCAUAGCCGACCUGAGAGGGUGAUCGGCCACACUGGAACUGAGACACGGUCCAGACUCCUACGGGAGGCAGCAGUAGGGAAUCUUGCGCAAUGGGCGAAAGCCUGACGGAGCAACGCCGCGUGAGUGAUGAAGGUCUUCGGAUCGUAAAACUCUGUUAUUAGGGAAGAACAUAUGUGUAAGUAACUGUGCACAUCUUGACGGUACCUAAUCAGAAAGCCACGGCUAACUACGUG
rnacentral:rRNA from 1 species